CUGACGAGUGGCGGACGGGUGAGUAAUGCUUGGGAAUCUGGCUUAUGGAGGGGGAUAACGACGGGAAACUGUCGCUAAUACCGCGUAGUGUCGAGAGACGAAAGGGUGGGACUUUUAGGCCACCUGCCAUGAGAUGAGCCCAAGUGGGAUUAGGUAGUUGGUGGGGUAAAGGCCUACCAAGCCUGCGAUCUCUAGCUGGUCUGAGAGGAUGACCAGCCACACUGGAACUGAGACACGGUCCAGACUCCUACGGGAGGCAGCAGUGGGGAAUAUUGCGCAAUGGGGGGAACCCUGACGCAGCCAUGCCGCGUGAAUGAAGAAGGCCUUCGGGUUGUAAAGUUCUUUCGGUAUUGAGGAAGGUUGAUGUGUUAAUAGUACAUCAAAUUGACGUUAAAUACAGAAGAAGCACCGGCUAACUCCGUGCCAGCAGCCGCGGUAAUACGGAGGGUGCGAGCGUUAAUCGGAAUAACUGGGCGUAAAGGGCACGCAGGCGGUUAUUUAAGUGAGGUGUGAAAGCCCCGGGCUUAACCUGGGAAUUGCAUUUCAGACUGGGUAACUAGAGUACUUUAGGGAGGGGUAGAAUUCCACGUGUAGCGGU
rnacentral:rRNA from 1 species